UAGUAUAAAGAUUUAGCAUCAAUGUUGCA
rnacentral:piRNA from 1 species